AAACCGUUACCUGUUCCUUUGCAGCCUACGCAUGCUGACGCAGCUCCCUACUCAUUAUAUACAGUAUGUAUUUCCAGCUUUUCCUGCCAAUACAGAUAUGCAUUUCAAUUAUUUGUGCUGUAUAGCCAAAGAUAUACUGAAGGAGCUCUGAAAAAAACACAUGCCCAUGGUGAGUGAUUCUUUAAAGAAGUAUUUCCUUGGUUUGCAUAAUGCCAGUGGUUGCCUUUUAGAAUUAAAACUAAAGACAGUGAGUUGCAUUUGACUAAAAAAUAAUCUGUUAUGUGGAUUAACUGUUCUGCCACACUCCAAAAUACCUCUAUCUCAAUUAUAGCUCAAAUAAAUCAUCACAAUACUAAGAUAAUAAGAGAAAUGAUUGCUUCACUGACAUAACAGAUUAAAAUUAUUUUAUCCUACUGUAGAUAUCCAUCCAAUGAGAUAAGAAGGUAACGGUAUCCAGUUGUGGAGAUUUUUUUUUAUUAUCCAGUGUUCCACAUUGUCAAGGAAUUACAUUUGUUCAAGGAGGCCUACGGUUUUCCUACAAGUGCAAUUUCAAAAUAAAUGAAUGAAUACGAGUGCUUGUAGAUAUUGUCCUCAGGAGCUUGUAAGGUGUUUCACUGGCCUGUUUGCAAAGGAAUGGAGCCUCACAGAGCCAGGGAGGUGAAGAAGAUCUGCUUCUGCAAUUGCAAAGGACUUACACCUGUCUCCAUGGCAUCAGAUCUCUUCCUGUAGUGCAGAUCCCCCAGAGGAUUUUUUUUUUAGUUUAUUCUCCUCAACAAGUCUGGAAAAAGUACCGUGUGUUAAAUAUCGCCUACUCAACUCAGUCUGCUUGAAAAGUGUUUCAAACCCAGAAGUUUGCCUAAUCCGACUUCCUGCAUUCAACCAACGUAGGCGGCAGCAGUGAGCAGAAAACAAAUCCUGUUGCGUAGCGGAUUGAGACUGAACUCCAGCAGUCUCGCUUCAGGGGGUUUGACUAGGUCAUUCUGUGCGCAAACUCGGUCUGA